UGGGUUUGACUAUCACGGAUGCCCUCUCCGAAAGGGGAGUAAGCUGCCUUCGGGUGAAACGUGACCAGGUGCUGCAUGGCUGUCGUCAGCUCGUGUCGUGAGAUGUUGGGUUAAGUCCUUUAACGAGCGAAACCCUUAUCGUUAGUUGCCAGCGCGUUAUGGCGGGGACUCUAACGAGACUGCCGGUGUCAAACCGGAGGAAGGUGGGGAUGACGUCAAGUCCUCAUGGCCUUUAUGCCCAGGGCUGCACACGUGCUACAAUGGGACGGACAAACCGACGCAAUACCGCGAGGUGGAGCAAAUCGGAAAAACCGUUCCUCAGUUCGGAUUGCAGGCUGCAACUCGCCUGCAUGAAGUUGGAAUCGCUAGUAAUCGCAGAUCAGCUAUGCUGCGGUGAAUAUGUUCCUGAGCCU
rnacentral:rRNA from 1 species